UACGUAGGGUGCAAGCGUUGUCCGGAAUUAUUGGGCGUAAAGAGCUCGUAGGCGGUCUGUCACGUCGGCUGUGAAAACCUGGGGCUCAACUCCGGGCCUGCAGCCGAUACGGGCAGACUAGAGUUCGGCAGGGGAGACUGGAAUUCCUGGUGUAGCGGUGAAAUGCGCAGAUAUCAGGAGGAACACCGGUGGCGAAGGCGGGUCUCUGGGCCGAAACUGACGCUGAGGAGCGAAAGCAUGGGUAGCAAACAGG
rnacentral:rRNA from 1 species